rfam:Sphaerobolus stellatus SS14 unplaced genomic scaffold SPHSTscaffold_15, whole genome shotgun sequence.
GGUUCGGUAGUUCAGUUGGUGGAACGUCUGCUUAACACGCAGAAGGUCGUCGGUUCAAGUCCGGCCCGGAUCA